UGUACCUUUUCACCAAGGGACCAUAUUGUACCUAUGGGUACAAAAAGCCCAUGGACUGUCACUCAGAAGUUGAUAGGGGAGGAGAUUCGGGAGCAACCGUUAUUUUUUCGUCUCACUCAAAGUAAUGGAGGAGCAGUUUUCAGCAGAGGAGCUUGGUGUGGGGAAACGUGCUGUGGUGCUGGCAUAAUCUUUAUGGAACAGGAGGCAACGCUAUUCAGAGAUAACCACCAAGGCAGAAUGUUGGCGUGUGGAAGUACCUCUACUCAGAGUGAUAGAGAAAACUAUGGCUCUGCUUUUACUGAAGGAAUGGCUACCGGAGCGGGCAGCUUUAUGAAUAUAAGUUGAAAAGGAUGUAUGGAGAAGUUUUGGGAGAGUCAGACAGUCCACGGAACUUGCAAUGACUUAGCAAUGAUCUAUGCCAGACGUACAACCCCUGCUGUCAUUGGUGAUACCACUGCUUGAAAAUAUGUCAACGUCCUGUAGAUCAAGUAAGGUUCCAGUCGAAGUCCUCCUGAAGA